rnacentral:rRNA from 1 species
CAAGUCUUGACAUCCCUCUGAAUCCUCUAGAGAUAGAGGCGGCCUUCGGGGCAGAGGUGACAGUGGUGCAUGGUUGUCGUCAGCUCGUGUCGUGAGAUGUUGGGUUAAGUCCCGCAACGAGCGCAACCCUUGAUUUUAGUUGCCAGCACUUUGGGUGGGCACUCUAGAAUGACUGCCGGUGACAAACCGGAGGAAGGCGGGGAUGACGUCAAAUCAUCAUGCCCCUUAUGACUUGGGCUACACACGUACUACAAUGGCUGGUACAACGGGAAGCGAAGCCGCGAGGUGGAGCCAAUCCUAUAAAAGCCAGUCUCAGUUCGGAUUGCAGGCUGCAACUCGCCUGCAUGAAGUCGGAAUUGCUAGUAAUCGCGGAUCAGCAUGCCGCGGUGAAUACGUUCCC